rnacentral:lncRNA from 1 species
UUUGACCGCUUCCUCCUCCUCCUCCUCACCUUCGUGAUCUCAGGAGACUCGAGCGAAAGGAGAUGAGGGAAGGGAGACCAGCCUGGUUGCUCAUCCCAGGAGUGGCACUCCUGCUGUUUUUGUCUUCGUUAGAAGAGGGUUCGGGGCAGCUGACGGAGCCCAGUUUCAGCAGAGCUGACUUCCCUUUAGACUUCGACUUCGGAGCUGGGACGUCGUCUUAUCAGGCAAAUCUCUGCGCCCGGGCUUCUCAUCUCGAUCCAUAGUGGGGGUGUUAAAUCCUCGAUCACCGUCCAUGACCUGUUCUUUAUAGAUUCUUAGUAAGGAUGUUUUCCCCCUUUGAUGAUGCUUACUGGGUAUCACUCAGUGCACUCUCACAUGCUUUACUGCAAAUCUUACCUAGUUAUGUGUGAGACUGCCUAUCACUACUCUAUCUAUUCAUCAUCUUCUUGAGUUUUUCUUGAUAUGAGAUAUAGCAGAGAGAACAUGAGAGAUUGCAGAGAGAAAAGUGAAGGGCGAUGAAGAUGAAAAAGGUAUAUAACUGAGAUUGCAUAUGUAGGUGGAGGGAGCAGUAUCUGAGGAUGGAAGGAAACCAAGCAUUUGGGAUACCUAUACUCAUGCAGGUGAACAUUCCUUGUUUCCUCUUCAAUUACUUCACUCGGUAUUAUUAUUUACCAAACUAAUAAAUAAUACGUAUGUUCAAAUAAUUUCCAUGCUCAAAGAGUUUGAAAUAUGGAACUCUUGUAAUUUGUUGUUAUUUUUGGGAUGAAUAACUUGGGGAUUUGAAUGGGGAUGAUGAAUGUUUCAGGGCGAAUGCUGGACAAGAGCACAGGAGAUGUGGCUUCUGAUGGCUACCACAAAUACAAGGUCUGCAACUUCUACCUUAAUCUAUGGAAAAAAAAAGAAAAGAAAAGAAAAUAGAAUUUUUCAUUUAAAGGUGUCACAAAAUUACUUGUUGCAAUCUAAGACCCUUCUUGUUCCUUGUUCUAUUGUGCCAAAUUGUCUGGACAAAACAUGUUUCUGGCUCCAACACUGUGGUAAAAGGAAGAAGGAUUUAUCCAUAGAAAUCAAAACAUGUCCCAUGUUAAUGCCAUCUAUGAAGACAAACAUAAAAUAGAACAGUAAUGUAUAGAGCAACUUUUUCUUAAGUUAUGCAUAGGACAUACAAAAAGUUUUAAUCAUACCUAAGUGCUUUUAUUUUCACAGGAAGCAAAAUGGCCAUGACUCAGAUUCUUGACAACUGUGUGAUAGAUAGGAGCCCUUUAGAAAUAUAUGGUUACAAGAAGAAGGGGAUCUAAAUUUCUUUAUGAACCUUUUUCUCCAAAGCCUACUCAUCAUAGAUUUCUCUGACUGGUAAACUUCUAGUCUCUACAUGGCUUGACCAGUUCUUGGAUCGGAAAUUGACCAUGAUGUAAUAACCUAUUUUUUCACUCAAGAUUCGUAAUACCGUACCGUAUCGGUGUUUCGACCUGGGCUCGGUACCGGUACGGUACGGUAUACCGAGCGGUACACCCAAGUGUGCCGAGUACUACAGUGUUACAGUGCACUGCUACAAUGUUACAGUGCACUGCUACAGUACUACAGUGCACUCGGAUCGGUAACAGACGGUCCACGUACCGGCAAUCUAUCGGACCGGUACGUACCGCCCAUACCGGGCGGUACAGUUCGGUACUGCAGACCAUGUUUUAACCUACAACUCGGUUUUAAGAAAAUAUGCACUUAUGUUGUCCCACAAAAGUCAAAGAAGAGAUACUUUUGAUCACAAUAUUAGAAACUUUAAGCAUAUUUACAUCUCUUAGUAAUGUUUACUUCCCAUAUUUGUCCAAUUAUAAUUGCCAAUGAGAUAUAUAUGACAUAGCUAGCAUUUCUAAAGUCCUCUAUGUUUAAAUAUAAAUAAGGUGGGUUUUUCCCUUGUUGAAACUUGAAAAAAAAAAAAAGUAGAAUUCUGAGUUUUCCUGAUGAUUAAUUUGGUGAAUUUUCAUCGAAAUCCAUUCAUUGAAUUCUUAGGAGUACAAAUGCAGUCAUCAGAAACUUGUUCUGAAACUUCGCCCUUUUCCUUCUCUGAAUAUGGGAUAUAUGAAGAAUAGUUGCACUAUUUAAUAAAGCAAUUUCAGGAUGAAAAGAGAUUGUUUUGUUAAAAUAUGUGAUAUGUUGAAGGAAUACCACCAAAGUUUAUAAAUAUGUGAUCAGUUGGUUCUUCAAGUUCUCAAACUCAUCAACAAGAAAAAAAGAAGGUAAAAAAAAAAGUCUUGCUCUAGCUAUACCAAUAUCGACAUUUUCCCCUAUUGCAAGUUUAUUAGCUACCAGUUCUAUCAACGUUUUUGCUUAUUUAUGAUCCAAGAAGUCUUCUCUGAUAUAUAUAGACCAUGGCCUAGUGUACUUUAAGCUACAAAUAGGCCCACUAAGUUUAAAAUUAUUAACACACGUAAGGAGUAUCCAGAUAAAAGAUUUUUAAAGACAUAGGCUUAUUCAUCAGGGGUGAGUCUUUUUUACAAGUGAGGUAAUAUUUCAGGAAGAUGUCAAGCUGAUGGCUGAAACAGGACUGGACUCCUACAGAUUCUCCAUCUCUUGGUCCAGGCUUAUCCCAAGUAUGACUUGAUUGAAACAUUUAGAUCUCAUACAAAAGUGGUGUUGUUUAUGUGAUGUUACUUGUUCUGCAGAUGGUAGAGGAGCUGUUAAUCCUAAAGGCUUACAGUUUUACAACAACCUGAUUGAUGAGCUAGUAAAAUAUGGUGAGUCUUUCUUUUAAGUGUGUUUUCAGUAUGUGUGAUUAUGCAAUUAUAAUCUACCUCUCAACUGGAACUGCCAACCAAUUAGACGACCAAUCAACACUACUGAUGAAUGAUCAUGUAUGAAAAAUGCUUAAACUUCUCUUCUUGGAAAUUAUUCCUUCAGUGAGGAAAUCAUUUCUUGAACAAGAUUAGAAUGAACUAUGAAACUAUCCGACAAGCUUCAAACUGUAUCUGUCCAUAGCUAAAUCAUUUCCGAGUGUUACUCUCCGAAUAUUAAAUUUAACUGGCAAACUCUAUAAUUAAAACUAAAUCAAUCUCUUGCAAAGAAGCUCGAUGAACGAUAAAUGAGGGAGACUCAUAAGAGAUAAAAAAAAGAGAAUGUACAUUUUGCAUACUCAUAGAGAUAAGGCAUUCUUUUGUGCAUGAUCCAAGUAGAUAAUCUAUACUUGAUAAUUAUAUGUUUCGCAAUCAUGUAAACACAUAAUAGCUGCAAGAAAGAUUAAAAAAAGAAAAACAAGAUACAGUUAUUUCCAGAAGAAGUAGCAGUAAGCAAUGUGAUACAUAAGAUUUGAAUUUAAUUUCUGUUUGAGAAUAGAUUUUUAUGAUAGUCAAUAUCCAAUCCUUGUUCAUAAAUUUAUUCCUUUCCUGAAUGCUGUAGGAAUCAAACCUCAUGUGUCAUUAUACCAUCUUGACCAUCCCCAAGCACUUGAAGAUAAGUAUUCAGGAUGGUUGAGUCCCAAAAUGGUGUAAGAUGUCCUUCGAUGACUAGCAUACUUCAACGUCACUACUCAUUAGUACAAUUUCUCAAUCCCAAAACUAAUUGUGAUAAUCUCAGCCAAAUAAGCUGAUAUGUAAAGAUGUGCUUCAGGGAUGAUUUCACAGCAUUUGCAGAUGUAUGCUUCAAGAAUUUUGUGACAGAGUUCCUCGAUGGACAACUAUUGUCGAACCCAGUAUAAUGUCACUGGGUGCAUAUGACAUGGGAACACUUCCACCAAAUCGGUGCUCUUAUCCAUUUGGCAUCAAUUGCACAGUAGGAAAUUCGACGACAGAGCCCUACAUUGCGAUUCACAACGUCCUACUAGCCCAUGCAUCGAUCGUCAAAUUAUACAAAAGCAAAUAUCAAGUAAGUCAUUUGCCUUCUUCACUUUGUGUUAUCCACUAUUUUACCAUGUCAACAUUGAUUUUAUAAAUUUACCAUUUAUACAGGCAAAACAAAAUGGGUGGAUAGGCAUUAAUGUCUACACUUUUUGGUAUUAUCCGUUCACAAACUCUUCUGCAGACAUUGAGGCAACCCAAAGAAUUCUUGAGUUUUAUGUUGGCUGGUAUUCUACUUAAUUCAGUGCGCAUUGUCUUCUAGUCUCACGCGAUUGUGUUCUAAUGAGCCAUCCACUAUUAGGAUCCUAAAUCCAUUGGUGUUUGGAGACUAUCCUGAGGUCAUGAAGAAGAUCGUCGGCUCGCGACUCCCAUCCUUCACCAAAUCUCAGUCUGAACAAAUAAAGGGCUUAUUUGAUUUCAUUGGCGUGAAUCACUAUUCUUCAAUAUAUGUCAAAGAUAACAUCAAUGCUUCUGAGAUGGGUCUUCGCGACUUUGUUAUGGAUUCCUUAGCCUUGGUGACAAGUAAGUUAUUCUCUUGCUCUUUUGGUUCAGAUUUGCAUUGUGUUUUAAGCUGUAGUGAGCUGCUUACUAUCGAUGCUUCGAUGUAGCUUCAAGAAAUGAGACACCUGGUCAGGUAAAAAGAGUAGAGUUAAUCUUCCUACCAUGUAGUUUCUUCACCGUGAAUACUUGAAAUGGGCUAACAUCUGCUGCAACAUAAACAGUAUGACCCUACGGCACCUUCAUCAUUCGAUCCUCAGGGGCUGCAAUACAUGUUUGAGUAUCUCAGAGAUGCCUACGGAAAUCCUCCUCUUUUUGUUGAAGAAAAUGGUCAGUUCAGCCACUCCUUUUCAUCAUGGAUUAAAAAGAUGCUUUGUUUUUCAUCAAGUAUCGUAAUUUUUAUCAGGCUAUGGCAUAGGAAGGAGAGAGAGCGAUGACCUUAAUGACACCGAUAGGAUCAAUUACCUGAAUGGCUUCAUCGGUAGCAUGCUCGAUGCUAUCAGGUCGAUAUUGAUGUCUUGAUUACAUGCAUAUGAUAAGCUUCCAAAUAUAGGAAGCAAUGCUUUAGAUUUACCAUCAAAAUUUUUUGAGUUUUGAUUAAAAACUAUAAAUAAAAAUUUAAAUAUUCUUAAUAUAAUUAAAAAUAUGAUUUUUUUAGAGCUUAAUGAUAGUGAAAGAUCGAUAUAGCCAGCCCCAAAUAGUUGAAACAUUAUGACAAUUUUAUCGUUGUUAAUACUUAUAGGAGGAUCUUUUGUUUGUAGGAAUGGAGCGAAUGUGAAAGGUUACUUCGUUUGGUCGUUCAUAGAUGUUUUCGAGUUUUUGACAGGGUAUCAAUCUCGUUGCGGCUUGUACCAUGUGGAUUUUGAUGAUGAGAACCGUAAAAGAACGCCGAAGCUCUCUGCCAUUUGGUACUCUAAGCUUCUUGAAAGAAAGGAUGGCAUGAAACUGAACAAAACUGCAAUGGAUACAGAAUACUAUGCUCGGUGGUAACAUUCCUCCUCACAAGUCCUGUGUUAAAUAGAUUUAGAUCACACGAGUCAGUUUUCUCGUCUUGAGCAAAUACAGGCACUCAAAUUAGCUCAAUAAAAAAAAGGAUCUAAAACUGGUAGGACUGUGAAAAUAAAGUGGUCUACUCCUUCAUAUUAAGUGUUUUUGUAUGAGUUCAAGCAUGUCGUUCAAAAGUUCCUGCAGUGGUUUGAGUUAUAUUUCACCUCAUCCACAAAAACUGGAGUAUUGUUAUUGGACGAUCUAUAAUGCAGCACUUCUUGAAAGAAAGAUUUUACCAAAGAAAGGGAUGAUAAUGAACCUCGAUACUAGUUGUGAUGGAUGUGGAUAUCAUCUCCUUGAAUCUGCACGAAUCUUUAACCACCCCACUCCAUUAAACAGGCAUGAGAUUGUUCUGCAAGCUGCAUGCGCAAUUAAACUGAGACUGCUUGUCACUUGUGUUAGAGAUGCUUGCAAAAAGUGUGGCAGGGAAAUCAUACCUCUUAUUGUUGGAGAUGCUCUGAACUUAAAUGUAAUCUGUCUCCAAUUGCAUCUCCUUUCUUUCUCUGAAUGGUACAUUGAUCAAACAAGAAACCAGUCUCAAAGAAUUGAAAAGCUCCAAUGCAAAGAAAAAGAAAAUUUAUCAGAUGUUCGAGAAAGUAUAGCAUAAAAAAUAUAGAUCAAUUUUAAAUGCAUUGCAUUUACACUUGAAUGGACAAACUCUUCUUAUGGACAACCAAAAAAGGCUCCCAAAAGUGGUCGCAGAGUGUUGUUGCUCCAUCAGCAGGCAUUCAGCACCCACAGACAACCAGAUAAUUUAGUUGGAUCACUGUUGAACACACAAAUACUUCUCUCCCACACUCAUAGAAAGAGCAAUGCAAGUGAUACAAGAAAGCAAGGGGAACUUUAUUUGAGCCAAGAAUUAAGUCCUUCAAAUGUGCAACUUCAAGUAUAUCUUCCAUCUCCAAUCAACCUGUGGUAAUGAAGUACAGCAGCAGUCGAGGAGUUCAUAUGAAGAUGCCUACCAGAAACCAUUGAUGCUUCUCUCCGGCAGGAACAGAGAUCAGACAUCAGAUUCAUGUCAAUUCAUUCAGAAGACUGCAGAUCAUAGAUGUUAAAAAGUUAUUUAGGCUCUCAAAGAAGAAUAACUGUAAGGAUUAAGAGAUAAGGAAUUCACAUCGAGGUGUUAGCCAUCCUAGAAAACUUCAUCAGCUUCUCUCAGUCGGUAUGUUUAUGCAUACCUGUGAUUUUGUUGAUGAGCUGCUUCUCACGAGAAUAACUGUUUUACAGACAACAGCUUAAAAUUUAAAAUCUCAUCUAAUAAAUUUUAACACUACUUGAGGAGGAUCUCAAUAAAAUCAAAAUCAAAAUUAAUACAAAAAUAUGCGGUGUUCAUCGCAUGUCUGACCAACUCCAUUCAUGAACAAAGCCAGAGUUGUGGUAUGCUCUUCAUCCAAUAAGUUCAUCUACAUUUUGGCUUCUUCUUCCUGUCUGACCGGCGCAGGUCAUACAUGAGACAACCAGGAAAGAGAAAAACACCAUUAAAAGAGACUUUCAUGUUCUGGCUGACAUGAUGCUUCCCAGAAGUCUCCAAUCCAAUCUUAAACCAAGUGUAGAUGCCACUCUCUCUUUGACUGCUUAACGCAAUGGUAAUAAUUAUAGUUGUCAUGACCAAAUUAGGUCUUCUUUUAAAAGUUUUAUAGAGCUUUACUAAUAACCAUAGUCCGAUAAGAUUUUCUUAACUAUACGAGGAAAUCUCUUUGAGAAAAAUCGAUAGUUUAUCGUAACAUUCUGGGUUUUGAGUUCAAAUUUUAUUUUUAUUAUUUUUUUUAAAAAAUAAUAUAUAACUAUUCUCAUCAAGAAUUAGAUGCUCAUAAGGAAUUGUUUGUUUGUUGUCUACUUCUUAAUUAUGAUAUAAUACUAAAUAUGCUUAUUAAUUACUAAAAAUUAAUAAACAAUGAGGAGUAGUAACGUAUUUGAAAAGGCGUUUGUUAGUCUAAUCGAUAAGGACGGGCUCAAAUUCUAUGUUUAGAAUAUAUUCUUUGAAAAAAAGAAAUAAUACACAAACUAUUCUCGUAAAGAAUUAGAUGUUCAUAAGGAAUUGUUUGUUUUGUUGUAUCAAUAAACAAUGAGGAGUUGUAUACUAAAAAAAUAAUAAAAAAUGUAGGACCAAAAUAUUAUCCCUUCCAUUGACUUCGCCCACAAAAUUCGACCAUUAUCAUCUUCAUGAAGGCCAUCUUUUUGCGCGCCAUGCUCAAAUAAAAUACUAACCACACAACAGGGGCGCCGGCACCGGACGGCUACUUGCGCGGCUUUGACCGCUUCCUCUUCCUCCUCCUCCUCCUCCUCCUCCUCACCUUCGUGCUCUCUGGAGACUCGAGCGAGAGGAGAUGAGGGAAGGGUUGCUAAUCCCAGGAGUGGCACUCCUGCUGUUUUUGUCUUCGUUAGAAGAGGGUUCGGGGCAGCUGACGGAGCCCAGCUUCGGCAGAGCUGACUUCCCUUCAGACUUCAUCUUCGGAGCUGGGACGUCGUCUUAUCAGGCAAAUCUCUGCGCACUGGCUUCUCAUCUCGUUCCAUAGUGGGGGUGUUAAAAAAAAUCCUCGAUCACCGUCCAUGACCUGUUCUUUAUGGAUUCUUAGUAAGGAUGUUUUCCCCCUUUGAUGAUGCUUACUGGGUAUCACUCAGUGCACUCUCACAUGCUUUACUGCAAAUCUUACCUAAUUAUGUGCGAGACAGCCCAUCACUCCAUCUAUUCGUCAUCUUCUUGAGUUUUUCUUGAUAU